rnacentral:rRNA from 1 species
CGCGGCCUAUCAGCUUGUUGGUGAGGUAAUGGCUCACCAAGGCUUCGACGGGUAGCCGGCCUGAGAGGGCGACCGGCCACACUGGGACUGAGAUACGGCCCAGACUCCUACGGGAGGCAGCAGUGGGGAAUAUUGCACAAUGGGCGCAAGCCUGAUGCAGCAACGCCGCGUGCGGGAUGACGGCCUUCGGGUUGUAAACCGCUUUCAGUAGGGACGAAGCUAACGUGACGGUACCUACAGAAGAAGGACCGGCUAACUACGUGCCAGCAGCCGCGGUGAUACGUAGGGUCCGAGCGUUGUCCGGAAUUAUUGGGCGUAAAGGGUUUGUAGGCGGUCCGUCGCGUCAGGAGUGAAAACUUGGGGCUUAACCCCGAGCCUGCUUUUGAUACGGGCGGACUAGAGGGAUGCAGGGGAGAACGGAAUUCCUGGUGGAGCGGUGGAAUGCGCAGAUAUCAGGAGGAACACCGGUGGCGAAGGCGGUUCUCUGGGCAUCACCUGACGCUGAGAAGCGAAAGCGUGGGGAGCAAACAGGCUUAGAUACCCUGGUAGUCCACGCCGUAAACGGUGGGCACUAGGUGUGGGGGACAUUCCACGUUCCCCGUGCCGAAGCUAACGCAUUAAGUGCCCCGCCUGGGGAGUACGG